UUUGCAUGAUAAAUACAAAACUUUUUAAUUCUAUAAACAGAAGAAUAUGUUAAUAAUGAGCAAUAUAAAACAAUCAACACACAUGAUAACAAAGCUUUUAUAUAUAUACAACAGUCACACUAUGGCAUGUAUAACAAAAUACAAUGUAUUUUUUUUUUCUACUUCCUAGUAGGCCUUACAUUAGAUAUUAUUGAAUCAGGGUCUUAAGCUGGGUUUUUUUCAGACGUAAACUAUAACUACUAUUUGAUUUGAUUUUUUACAUGUUGGAUGUGGUAGGUAGUUCAAGCUAAGGCAACACUUUACUCUACUAUAAAUGUUGGUACCAGAUCAGUUUAUUUCUUUUAAAAUAUUACCCCAGCCUCAAAACUAGGAAAUAUGAUGACAUGGAAACUAUGUUCUAUCCUUGACCUAUAUUUCUUACCUACUGGUACACAUAAACUAUGUUGCAUGUCUAACAUUUUGCUAUCAUACAUCAUACAAUAAUCACAGAAUUUCUUCCAAAUAAAUUCAUGCUUCUUUUAAUUGACAUGGGCAGAAAUUGUGUUGCAGUAUUAGUAAGAACAAUAAAUGUAAAAUAAAAAGCCAUAUUUAAUUGAAAAAAAAAAAUGCUUUCACUAAUUAAUUCUUUAAUAUUGGUUACAAUUUGAUUUGAUUUUAGAAGUUUUAACACCACUUUUAAGCACCGCAUUUAGGCUAUUUCGUGGAGGCCAGUUUUUAUUGGUGGAGGAAGCCACAGUGCAGGAGAAAACCACGACCUUCGAUAGGAAAACUGACAAUCUAAGUCAAUUAAGAUUGGAGUUGAGUGCAGCUGCACGAGACGGGUUCGAACUCACAACCUCAGUUUUGACUGGCUAGUGAUUUCAGUAGUAACUACUUAGACCACUCGGCCACAAAGGCCCCAAUAUUGGUUACAAAGUUUAAUUAUAUUUUAGAAUGGUAGUACUUAAUAUUAUGAACAAAAUAAUGAAGGUAAAAUACAAGUUUUUCAUAAUUACAAACAAUAUUUCCUCAUACACCAAAAUUUAGUACUACAGAGAAUAUUAUGCUUUUCAAAAAUAAACAACAGAUCUAUAAAUAAGUAGCAGUAAAUAAAUUACUGUGAUAUUGAGAAUCAGGAUAGUUAUAAAGCAGUAAAAAUUCCCAAAUUAUAAUUGUUGAUUAAGUAAAAUAUUUUUAGAGGUCAUGCACCACCUAAAUGCUAUAAAAUACUCUAUAUAUUAAAAUAAUAUCUUUUUGGAAUGUGAUGACAAGCUAUAAUUAUACUAUACAUUUGUAUUCUGUAGAAAUUUGUACACCAAAUAUUUACAUGUUUUAUUUUCCUAAAUAUUCAUUUUGUAGGAAUUCUAUAAAUCAUACACAUUGUAGCAGAAAAAAAAAAUUUGAUAAUUCUUCCUUUUAAAUCCAGUUUUCAAAUCUGAAUUAAAAGCAGUUCUUUCGAGAAAAAAAAAUAUACAGUUUAAGUCUCAAAUUCAGGUUUGAUGUUAAAAGAAUAAAUUUUCUACUUUAUCAAAGUAUUUUAAUCAUUUAGACUGAAGUUAUGUUUCUUUCUAAUUAUUGUGUGGAUUUCUUGAAGAACUUAAAAAAAUAUGACAUAGAAUUCCACAAUAGCACUCAUAACUCUUAUGCUUAAUGUGUAUAAGGCACGAAAAUAAAAAAGUCAACAUUAAAGUCAUAAGAAACCUGAAAUUAAAAAAAAAUAUGCAUAUGUUUUUUUAUAACUAAUUGGAUAGUUUUCAUUAUACAACUUAUGUACAUAUACUUUUUUCUGAAGAAAGUUCUGUAAUUUGUCCACAUUUAGAAGAAGUUUACCUAUUUUUAAUUGCUUGCUUCCAGGAAGCAAUUCGCCAACAUAUUUUCCGUAUGCAUAGUGACCUGAGCGUAACCCUCCUUGUAAAAAUCCGUUGAUCACAAUACGCAUGAAUCUGUCAUUAAAAUAAACAAUUAUCAUAUUGUACAUGUUAAACACGUGCCCAAUACCCAUGCUUUUUGUUAUUUGUUUACUAUAAGGUGACAAUCAGUAAACUUCAGCUUCAAAAUAGGCAUUUAAUGAGCAGCCAUAUUUGUUAAAUCAUAACAGACAGAGAGAAAAAAGAUUGACGAUUAUACGAUAUAUUUGCGUAAAAAUGAUAAAAUCGUGCACAGAGGACUAAGUUUAUGAUAUAUACAUGCAUUGGUUCAAGAAUUGGAUAAACAUUAUUUUUCACAACUCACUGGUUUCUUAUGACUUUAAUAACAAAUAAAUACAAAAGCUAAAUCAUCUUUUCUUGAUUUCACCACUAACAAUACUAUGCAAUUAAAAACUUUCUUAUCAAUGAAUUCCCUCUAAACUACAAUCGAACUUUGAACCUACCAUAUCUAAAGGUCAAAAUGCAGGAAUUUAAAUGAUCGUUUUUUUCAAAUGUUCAAUGCAUAAAACUGAGGAUUGAUUGGUGUUAACUUAACCUCCUGUGGCAAAUAUUUCAUAGGACAGACAUUUUCUUUUAUCUUAUUGAUGCCAGUAACAAGAGUGUAAUUGCUACUAAGUCAUGUAAGUUGACAGAGAUAAAUUCCCUACAAUUAUUAAUUGUGAAUUAUAAAUAUGCUUUAGUUCCACUGUAACUGUACAAUGAAUGGAUUUCAAAGGUUUUCAACAAAAUUGACAAUAAAAUAACUAUGCAUUUCAUAUCUAUCCUAACACAAUGAUUUGUCCUAUUAUCAUGAUUACAGAAGCUGUAAGGUAUAAAUGUCUUUUAGACAGCAACCUUAAAACACAAACAAUUAAACAAACAAAAAAACUUGGAGGUCAACAAACAACCUUCAAAAACAGACAUGUAUCUUGACUUUUGCUUAAAACUCUAAAUUGCUUUUUGUUGCUUUUGUCUGGAUAGCUUUAAAUAAGUUUUUAUAAUAUAAACUUUUUCAAACUUUUGAAAGAACUAUAUAAGCUAGUCAACAAAUACACAGAAUCUUAAACAUUAUUAACAAGCUUACCCCUUGCAGUAUAAAAUAAUCUGCAUAUAAUUAUAAGCUGAGGUAAAAAAAAAAUCACAAUGAAAUGGAAAUGUUAACAUUCAGCCAUAAAACAAACUUUUCAAACUAGCAUGUCAACAAAUAGAUUACAUUAAAUAUUACAUGCCUAUUUAUGUAGACAAAUUAUGCUUUUCAAUAUCCUCUAAAAUUUCAUGAACAGACUGUUGUUGUUACAGUAAACAGUCAAAAGUCAAAAUAUAACAAGGAUUUAAUAUGUAUACAAUUGUUUCAAAUUGUUUUACAAUGGUUUGCUUAGUACACAGGAACAGUUGUAAUGUAUAAUAAGUUGUCUUUCCAUUACAAAAGAACAAUCGAGUUUUUGAUUCACAUUUGUUCACAUGUUAGAUACAUAAUAAAUAAUGACCUUAUUUAUACAGGAAUACAUUUAAACUUUACAUUUCUAAGAUAUGACUAUGUAAUAAAUAUAAGUACAUGUUGAAUCGUCCUAAUCUACGUGUCGAACUACUGAGGAACCUCAGGGUUGAAGCCAUAACAGAUCUUACUCUGCCACCCCUCAGAAAAUUGGAAAUUGUUCCAUGUAUUGGUGAAUUUGAAAUCAUAAAUUUGAUAGUGGUUUAAACCUGGGACUAAUACAUUUAAUUUAUCUGUUAGUCACAGUUUAACCUUUUUGCAUUAAACUUUUGAAAAGUAUAAUAAUUAGAAACACACUAUUUUGUUCCAAUGAGGCAAGUGCAAUGGAGCUUGAAACAAAAGAAUAAACAAACCCUGAGCUUGUGAGAAUGAUCUAUGUAAAUUCAUAAGCAUGAGCAUGUACAUGUACAGUAACUGUCCAAUACAAUAUUCCACCCUCUUACAUUAAUUUGGUGGUGUCAUCCUUUGAGAGUGUGGCAAAUAUGGAAAUCCCUAAUUCUUAUGCAAAAGGAAUGUAAAUUCUGUUAAACCAAAACUGGUUGUUAAUUAGUAGUAAACAUGUGAAAUUGAUAAUUUAUCUUUCAUGUCAGUUAUUAGUGAUACACCAUGGCAUUAUUUAACUCAAUUACAAAUGUAUGAAUCAGAUGAGGUUUCUGUCAGUGUGCAUUUAUCAUGAAUUUAUUAAUGUUACCCUUGGUUAAAAAAGUAUACAUUUUAUUCAGCACAAAAAUAGCCAAAACUGUGAGUACAUCAAGCAUUUUUAAAUGUUUUUAAAAGUUUAAAAUCAGUAAAUCUUGUACAAGAAGAGGUCAACAAGAAAACCUCUGACAAAUAUUUUUUAUAACAAAAAGUUCUGGAUUUGUAGAUGCACAAAAGGCAGCCAUUUUGAAAACCCUCAAUGUAACUUGGUAUGAAUUUCCUUUCAGCAAAACCUUAUCAGAGCACUCUACAGUAGAUCUUUACUAAAGAUUUUUAACCAGUAUAUUAACAUAGGUUAUAUAGAUAAAUAUCCAAACUAAUUAUACUACUAUCAGGAAUAUAAGAGCAGCUUUCAGACAUUUCAAAACUUGUUAAACUAUUUUAAAACACAAAUUCACCAUUCUACAUUUUUGAAAGAGCAGACUUCUGCUGUUAUACACAGACGAUCUAUAUUCUCUGAGGAUCUGUGGAAGGUUCCUGAGGAGGUUUUGAUCUGACCUUGAACCAAGGGGUCUCCUUGUACAGGAACCAUAAGUUGCCUGCCCACACCAUCAUAUUCAGAAAACCAAAAAUCU
rnacentral:lncRNA from 1 species